AAGUCUAACUAAAGGUGAAUUUUUUCUUACCCUAAGUGGAACUUAUUCCUUUUCAUACACGGUGAUAAGAUUUUGGAAACCUAAUUGCAAUUUUUUCACCAUUAUUUUGUUCUAAUUUAUGCUUAUUUCAGUUAUCUGUCUUAUUUUCCUUUGGCAUUGUCACACGUCACAUCUAUGAAAGGUCCAAUCAGAUGAUUUCUUUAUUGUAUGUACUUAAAUCACAUCAUUACAAAAAUUAUGUUUCUUUUUCUUUUUGACUUAAUGUGGGACAAAACUUUACACUGUAUUUUCAUUUGUGUAGAACAACUUGAAGUUGUUGGAUGACAUGGCAGAAUAUAGAUCUAUUGUGUUCUGCAGUGUUCCACGAUUAUAUAUGAUGGGUAUUAUGUGUUUUAUUCAGUAAUGUUUAUUGAUGCUUAAUUAGGUGUGUGGUUAUGAAUGCAGUGAAGUCAUCUGUCAUGUGUUGUGUUGAUAGCAAAAGGAAUCGCAAUUCUGGGAUGAAUUGUGGUUCACAGAAUUUUUAUUCAUUACUCUGAGAUUAAUUGUUAUGCUCAAAUUCCAAUUCCUUUGACAAAUUCCAUUCCAUUACUCUGCAACAAGAAAAGGAUUCUAGAGACUGAAUUCGAUUUUUGGGGGCAUAUAUCUUUAUCAAAUGAGGCUAGACUAAACAAGUUCAAAUUGCUUCAGAUGUAAAUGUUGAGGUGUAAAUUUAUCUGUUUAGAUGUUCGCAACAUUCACCACAUGUUAAUUAUAAAGCUUUCCUUUUAAGUAACAGAUCUUAUGCUGCCUCUUCUUUGAGGUUUCUUUGCAGAUUUCCUGACAUUGAUACUUUUUUACAUUACUCUGGGAUGAAUUGCUAUUCUUAAUUCCAAGUCCUUUGACAAUUUUCAUUCAUUUCUCUGCAAUAAGAAAAGGUUUUGGAAACCAGAUAAAGAAGAACUAAUGAUGGAGAAAAGGAAAAGAAGAUGACCCUGAGAAUCAAAGUGUAAACAUGUACACUUUAAUUUCCAUCGAAUCUCAAUUAAGGGUGUUGUAUUAGGUGAUUAUGCUUUCAUGGAAAUGAAAUGCAAUACAGGAAAUGAUGGGAUUAACAUACUCCAUGUUGAAUCAAUCAAAAAAAGAUUCUGUGAAUUGGGACAUCAUGGAAGGGACAUGCCACACGGUGUGGUCAAUAUAAAAACUUUAGUUGAGUGUAGCCGAUUUUAUUCAAUUACGUUCCUUUAUUGAGGUCUGUAACAUUUUUUUACUUGUUGCGAGUAAAAUGACAAUUUUUGGGACCAAAACUGCAAGAACCAGCUAUUCUUAGUGACCAAAAUAGCCACCUUACUUGGAACAUGGACUGAAAAUGUUACAAGAACAUCAACUUAGGACCCAAAUUCAUAAACUAGCUUUAAUCAAGGACCAUAAUUGUAUUUUACUCUUGUUUCUAAAUAUUAUAUUCUACCUUUUUGUAUCCAUGUGAUUUGUGCUUUUUGGUUUUAGAGGAACAACUGGGAGUAGUUCAUAUUCGGGAUCAUGUCCAUUUUCAUAUAGGGCAAUAAGUUAAUUUCUAAAUGAGCUAUUAAAGUUUGAUAUAACAUGCCGAAUUGGUUGAAAUUACAUUAUUAGCCUCUUUAGACACAGGUAGGUGGUAUGCUUUCUUUGGAAAGUUUGAUGUGGCAACGAAACAAUGCAAGAAGUUUGAAAAUGUGUUGGUUUUCAUCACUUAUUCGGUGCCUCAUAAUAUUCUAGGUAAAUUUAAAUCAAUUAGUUUAAAGAAAGGAAAUUUUCGUUAUAAAUUUAUUUAAUAAUUUUUUAAAUUGGACUCAUAGGAUGUCAGUAUUUGAGGAGUGAAUUUAUUUAAUAUACUCUAAUUUCUUUUCCCUAAAUAAUGUAGUGAAAUCACUCUGUGAAUUUCAUAAUUGCAUGUGAUACAAAGCAACUAAGAUAUUGGAGGAAACGUGAAUUUCAUAAUUGCAUGUGAUACCUAAAUAGCAACUUUAUCAUUUUAUAAAAAAAAUACUAAAGGGUGUUUUGGUCAUUUUACACUACAAUUCUCCUGAUAGAUUUACAAAAUAAAUACAACACAACAGAUGAAUGGAAUCAAAAUUUUUUCUCUUUGCUGUCAACCAUACACAUAACAGAUUCCAAUUCCUUUGACAAAUUUUAAUUAUGUCUAAAAUAUUCUGUGAACCACAAGUUCUAUUACAUUACUCUGAGAUGAAUUGCUAUGCUUAAUUCCAAUUUUUUUUGAUAAAUUCCAUUCUUUACUCUGCAACAAGAAAAAGUUUUAUAAACCAAAUAAAUAACUUAUGGUGGAGAAAAGGAAAAAAGAAGCUCUUGGGAAUCAGUAUUUUAACACUUGAUGCUUUUAUUUGUUCUUAUUAUUUAGGCUUUUUGUUAAUGCUUGAAGAUAGACUUUUAGCUCCAUUGAAUCUCAAAUAAGGGUGUUUGUUGUGUUGGGUGGUUAUGACACAGGAAAUGUUGUGUUUGUGCUUAUCUAUUAUUCUUAAAAAAGAUGUUGAAUAUUGCAUAUUGAAUGGCAUUAAUAAUUGAUACAAGGAAGAUAUUUUUUGCAUAAGUUUAUUUGUAGAUUGUGGAUGAUGCAAUGGAAAAUCAGAGGAAUUAAAGAGAAACUGGAAACACUAGUUGCAGUUUAUUUUAUUAAUAUUCUGAUUUGUUGAGUGUGCAGACCCCUGAGUUUCUUCAGUUGUCAAAGCAGAUUAAGAAGAAGCUGAAAGAAAUUGAUCAAAAAUGAAGUAAAACUUGUGGAUGUUCAAGAGACGAUCUUAGUGGAAGGUUGGAUAGGGACCGACUGACUCUUGAUCUUUCGUUUGAAUUUUGUCAGGAGAGAAGUAACUGAUGAAGAAGGAAGGGUUCAUAUCGGAGGCUGCUUAAAUAUUACUGAUCGGUAAGAUGUCCAGAUGCUGCUGUGAAUCACUCUUCUGCACAAGCCAUAUUUUAUUUGUCAGUGAUUCCUUCUAAUAGUGGUUGAUGGUUAACCUUCUGAUGAAUGUGGGACAUUUUUGUUUUUUCAGGGGUGGCAUACAUGAACCAGUGUAAAAUCGAUCUCUAAAGGUCAUUUCAUCCUCCUUCGACCUUUUCCAUUGCACAACAAAACCCUAGUUUUCUACGAUGGUGAACCGGAGUAUUGGAUAAGAUUGGGAGGAAUACGAUCUCUAAAGGUCAUAUGCUAAUAUUCCGUCAAUGUUCUAGAUAUGAUUGCACUCUGGAGGGGUUUUUACAAAGUUUUCAAGCCACAAAUACAUCAAGAGGAAGAUGAAAUAUGUUGAUAGCAUUGAUAGCGACUUUUUCUCGGUGAAUGAUAUAGAUGAGAUGAUAGAAAUGUUGAUUGCGUACGUAAAAUUAUUUACUACCAUUUCAAACGACCAACCUGGGAUUUAGAUUUUGGGUUGUAUGCUUUGGCUAGUGACCAGGAUAUAAACCACAUUAGGUCAUACAUUUAUGAACACAAGAAUAUAGAAGUGUACACAGAGUUUUGGAAAACCAACCUGCAUACAUAUGAAAUGUCCCUAAACCCUACAAAUACACAUGAAAUUUCUGAGUCCCUUUAUUGUAAAAGGUUUUUCUUGGGAUGGUCAACUAUAGGCGACGAUCAUAGUGAAGAACCCCCUUUUAUAUUGAG